GUCCAUAGAAUUCUGAAAUUCAACUAAGGGUCAGAACCAGGACUAAACUCCAGGUCUCAAUUGCAAAGUCCAUUUACAUCAGUUUUUCUUUUAAAAAACUAAGUGCUAGGAGCUAGAGGCAAAUAAGGAAGUGGAGUGCUGAUCUUGAGCCUAAGAAUUUCCCCGUGCUGAGAACAAGUUCACAACAGAAGAGCAGAGAAGAGAGACCUAUCUCAAGUACAGUAUGCAGGCUACGUGGUGCUGUGGAGAGCCCAGGGUUCUGAGAAGUAAAAGACUGGAGUCCUGGAUCCUAACUGUGAUUUUGAUCAAUGGUCUCACUUCUCUGCUCCUCAAUCCAGAAGACUAGAAUAUUAGGACCAAAUCAGAGAUCUGUGAAGGAUAGCUGCUCCAUCUACCCUUCCAUCAGCAGGACAGGGGUGUCCCUGUGUACCACUCUCCCAGCCAACUCUUUCCCCUCAUCUGAGUAACAGCUCCUGGCACUCUGAGCUUGUUUCCACAUCUGCUGAAAAACAUAGAAGACUGCCAACGCUGCUCCAUAUUCACACAGAGGUACCAUGAAGAGACAAUGAGACAAAAUCUGUAAAAAUACUUG